rnacentral:siRNA from 1 species
AAAGAUGGUUUUUGUUUGAGUUA